CAACAAAUGGGAGCAUGAAGCAUUGCGAGAGAAUACUUUACGGUAUAAUAUGACCAACGACUAAUGAUCUGCGUUGACCAAACUGACUGGAUUACAAAUAGUGUCUCUAGGUGUCGUGGCGGCUACGCUUUUUCACAAUGCAAUAGCCACUAGCUGGCCCCAUGUCCUGCAGCUUAAGAAUCUUUUACAAAAUACCCUGACAAUAUAUGAAAACAAACAAAUCGAUCCACCAACGGAUUCAGAGCUGAGAAAAUCUGUGAAAAUCUUAUCGAAAGCCGAGCAGAGUCCCCAAAAGGUGGCACUGUUAGCUCCUAAGUCUCUGUGUUCAAGGAGUCAGUCCUGGAGGACCCGGAAUUGGUGCUCCGGGCGGACCAAACUAUCCCUUUACACUGCCGUCCGGAACCAAUUGCCCAGCACCAGUAGAAGCCUACUGUGAGGGAGGUGUCUACUGUCCUCCAGGGUACAAAAAGCCGUCUCCAAAAUGGAAAGAUUGACGUAAAUGAAAGAAAGUCCCAUAUGGAAGGAAGAGUUCUAUAUUAAUACCUGGCUAAUGCGCUGUGGGAUCGAUUUUCACAGAUGUCGCUCUUUAAAUGUACUACAAUUUGUAUUAUGUUAAGAGAAAGCUUUCAAUAUUGGUAUUGUAGCCGAGAACAUCGGCUGUGGCGAAUGAUCUCUGUUCUUGUCAUUUAUGGGAAAUUUUUCCAUCGAAUCAAUGUCAUUUUCAGUACUUAAACGUACAAAAGAUUCUGCAGAAUGUUCGCGAGUGUCUUGAUGCCAAACUAUAAACUAGUUCACCCGGGAACGGCAGGAGAACGGGAAAUUGAACAGUUACAGCAGCGCUUUAAUGUAAUGCUUCGAGAGCCAACCCACACUUGACCAAAUGCCAGCGGUACGAGUACAUCGUAUAGUCGUUGCCGCCGAAACUCUUUUGGCGACUCGUCGCCCCGCAAUCAACGAAGCGUUAACAAGCCAAGUCUCGGCCGCAAUGAGUGUACCACCACCAACAACAACAACAGACGAUCGACCGUCGACAACCUAGAGACACUGUCUGGCCACAAAGAGCAUAGCGAAAUAGUACUGCCUUUUCCUCCAUCUCUGGCUACCCUUUGCUGCUGGGGCUGCGGUCUUUUGUCUAAACAAAAUAACACACAGGGCAAUCCAUUAAUUUGUAUCUAUGGAUGUACAUAAGUGCUCCGUAAGUUGAGUGUGAGUCGCCGUGCAACUUACUCUAUCGCAUAAUGCGGCGAAAUUAUGUCAUCAGCCAGCCACUGAAGCCAAGCCGAGCCCAACCACAAGCCUGUUUAAAGUCUACGGAAUCUAUGCUUAUUCCAUUUUACCCGAUGCUUUCCACUAGCGAAGUGGAAGGCCCCAUUAAUAUUACAUGUAUUCAUUGAAUGUUCCAAUACAUCUUUGAUUGAUGAAAGGUAGAGCUCAAUCUUACA